AAAAAAAAAAAAAAAAUAAAAAAAAAGGGUGGGCAAAUCAUACCUAGUUGGCUGAAGUUGCAAAACAUAAUUUCUACCCAUUCAACUAGUUUUUUGAGGCAGCUUUCUGCCGCCUUCGCCUUCAAAUUAUAAUUCCUCCCUGCUAGGUUUCCCUCGCGUUUACACGAAAUCACCUUGCGCUUCUCCUCCGAUGCACAACAAAGCUAAACAAAGCUAAAUCUCAUCGC
rnacentral:misc_RNA from 1 species